rnacentral:rRNA from 1 species
GACGAACGCUGGCGGCGUGCUUAACACAUGCAAGUCGAACGGAAAGGCCCUGCUUUUGUGGGGUGCUCGAGUGGCGAACGGGUGAGUAACACGUGAGUAACCUGCCCUUGACUUUGGGAUAACUUCAGGAAACUGGGGCUAAUACCGGAUAGGAGCUCCUGCUGCAUGGUGGGGGUUGGAAAGUUUCGGCGGGUGGGGAUGGACGCGCGGCUUAUCAGCUUGUUGGUGGGGUAGUUGCUUACCAAGGCUUUGACGGGUAGCCGGCCUGAGAGGGUGACCGGCGACAUUGGGACUGAGAUACGGACCAGACGCCUACGGGAGGCAGCAGUGGGGAAUAUGGCACAGUGGGCGGAAGUCUGAUGCAGCAACGCCGCGUGCGGGAUGACGGCCUUCGGGUUGUAAACCGCUUUCGCCUGUGACGAAGCGUGAGUGACGGUAAUGGGUAAAGAAGCACCGGCUAACUACGUG